GCCCGGGGGGUGGAAUGGCAGACACAUCGGACUUAAAAUCCGAAGCCGAAAGGCGUGCGGGUUCGACCCCCGCUCCGGGCA
rnacentral:tRNA from 1 species